rnacentral:lncRNA from 1 species
CGGCCCCGGGCCGGGGGGCACCGGGACAUCCCGAGUUGCCGCCGGCCCCGCGCCCACGCGUGCACCCGCGCCCACGCGCGCCCUCGUCGCCGCGUCUUCUCCUCCAGCCGGGAGCCCGAGCCGGGCACAGCGCUGGGGAUUAACUCCGCCGAAGCACGGGGCCGCGCGGGACGGGGGCACCCACGCAGAGCGCGCAGGGAGCUCCGCAGGGAGCACGGCAUUAAGCCAGGCGGAGCAUCGCAGAGCCGCUCCCUCGCAGAAGUCCCCAAGGCAUCGAUCGGGAGACGUGGGCAGAAAUUGCUGCUGCUGCUGCUGCUGGGGCCGGGAGCUGUGCACCUCCAGAGUGCACGGGGAGCAGCUGAACUUUGGCACUGAGGAAGAUCCAUUUCUCCUCCGUAAACACUUUGGGGACGGUCACAGCGUGUCACUGCGCACCCAGCGCUGCAGCACCCGGAGCCGGAGCAACACUGGGGGGUUCCUCUCUCGCCAAGGACAGUCACCUGUGUAAGGAGCUGGGGAAGGGCAAUUCGUCUUUCUUUUCCAGAUGACUGAAAAUACCGAGAGGAUCGUGGCUCUCUGCUUUUCAUCGGCAAGUGGCACCGGGGAGAGGUGGCUGAGAGAUGGAAAUGAUGUUGCUUCAAUUCAUCCCAGCAUCUACUUUUUCCCGAGGGACUCCAUGCCCAUAGGGGUUUGCUGCAUGCAUGUCCAGCAGUGAGGACCGCGGUACCACAGAUGGAACCCAACUGGAUCAUGUAAGAAUUUGAUACUGAGAAACCCACCCCAGCAAGACUUUCUCUGCCUGAAGUAUAUGGUUCGGUGUAAGCACAGCAGUUUUUGCCUAUUUCUCUCCCUUUUACAUCUCUUGGGCUUGGAGAUCUCUGUCCCCAUUGCAACUAUGCUCAUUUGCAACAUCAGUGCCAUCAAAGAUUGGAGCACUUUCCUCUCCCAGAUCCUCCCCAGCGUGAACAAAACCCUGAACUUGGUGCAGCAAGUGGAGGCCACCACCAGCUCAGUGGUGAACGUCCUGCAGGACCCUGAGCAGGACAGCUACCUGGCCAACAGCCAGCCCAUGAACUCCAGCAACUUCACAGCCGGCCUAGACCACUUGUUUCAGUACUCUUACUCUGACAAUGACCAGCUGUACAAGGAGUACAAACCCCCUCCUCGCGACGCCAUCCCUCUGCCCAAGGCUGUCCUGUACCUCCUCAUGGCAGCCCUGGUGGUGGUGGCGGUGGCGUACGCCAUCGUUGGGCACCUCAUCAAGGACCUCAUUCAUGACUUUAUAGAUUGGAUCUUCGGCCCCAACCCAGAUGACAACAGCAACAAAAGCGACGUCAACUGCAUCACCAACAGCGUCAACGAGAUGAGCGAGAUGCCCGAGGUGCCGCGCCACCGCGACCGCCAGCCCCAGGACGUGGUCAUCGCCAUCGGCGAGACCUGCCACCUGCCGCAGCAGACGUGA